CUGGAGCACAGGAAACAGGAAAGAACUUGUCCCUAGCACCUGAGUUUCUUAAUUCGUCUUGGGGGCAGAGGAGAGAAUGAUCCUGUGGAGCAGAGCUUCUCAAAGCAUGGUGCACAGAGAAUCGAGGGGUCCCUGAGACUCAUACUCCGAGCACACGUAGCCUUACCCUGAUCACCCACAAACUCAGGUUCUAGCCACUGGAUACACAUCCACCCUGGGACCACAGCCUUGUGUUCCGCCACAGGCCACACAGAGUUGAGCUAAAGAUAUCUUCAUUUUCACCCAUAUUAUUACUGCUGCUGCUGCUAAGUCACUUCAGUCGUGUCCGACUCUGUGCGACCCCAUAGAUGGCAGCCCACCAGGCUCCCCUAUCCCUAGGAUUCUCCAGGCAAGAACACUGGAGUGGGUC
ensembl:lncRNA